rnacentral:rRNA from 1 species
CCUACGGGUGGCAGCAGUGGGGAAUAUUGCACAAUGGGCGAAAGCCUGAUGCAGCAACGCCGCGUGAGCGAUGAAGGCCUUCGGGUCGUAAAGCUCUGUCCUCAAGGAAGAUAAUGACGGUACUUGAGGAGGAAGCCCCGGCUAACUAGUUGCCAGCAGCCGCGGGAAUACGUAGGGGGCUAGCGUUAUCCGGAAUUACUGGGCUAAAAGGGGGCGUAGGUGGUUUGUUAAGUCAGAGGUGAAAGGCUACGGCUCAACCGUAGUAAGCUUUUGAAAAUGGGGAACUUGAGUGCAGGAGAGGAGAGUGGAAUUCCUAGUGUAGCGGUGAAAUGCGUAGAUAUUAGGAGGAACACCAGUUGCGAAGGCGGCUUUCUGGACUGUAACUGACACUGAGGCACGAAAGCGUGGGGAGCGAACAGGAUUAGAUACCCGGGUAGUC